UCUUGCUCAAGCGCCUUUUGUCUGCACUCACCCUGCCCACCCGCCUCUCCUUUCCCUCGAGGGGUCUCUGAGGGAGGACUUUGGCACCACGAAGGCCUGGACCAACCGCAGCUCCACUGCUCGCUGGAUGGAAGACCCGUCCAGGUCACCUGUCUCCCCUGGUCCUCAGCUUCCUCCUCUGUGAAUUGGAGGUGAGACCAGCUCCCACCUGGCGGGGCUGUUUUGGUUGGCAGAGCCCCAUGAGGGCAGGGCAGCCACUUUGUUCUUGGGCGGCAAACCUCCCUGGGCGGCACGGAAACCACGGUGAGAAGGGGGCAGGUCGGGCACGUGCAGGGACCACGCUGCAGGGAGGACGGGAGCCGAGUCCCA
rnacentral:lncRNA from 1 species